GCGGAUGGCCGGAUGGCCGCUUCGCUCCUCCGGGAGCGGGGAGGAAAGUCCGGACUCCAUGAAGGCACGGUGCCGGGUAACGCCCGGCGGGGGAAACCCCAGGGAGAGCGCCACAGAGAACAGUCCGCCCCGCAGGCCGGGGUCAGGGUGAAACGGUGGGGUAAGAGCCCACCGGGGACCGGGCAACCGGGACCGCAUGGCAAGCCCCACCGGGAGCAAUGCCGAAUAGGGGCCUCGCGCCGGAAGGCAGGGGAGCCUGACCCGAGAGGCCCGGGUUGGCAGCUGGAGGCGGUCCGGUAACGGGCCGUCCAGAGGAAUGGUCAUCGAACCGGGCACGCCCGGGGAACAGAAUCCGGCUUACAGGCCGUCCGCGCGC
rnacentral:RNase_P_RNA from 1 species